AUACAUAGGGGGCGAGCGUUGUCCGGAAUGACUGGGCGUAAAGGGUGUGUAGGCGGCCAGAUAAGUUGGAAGUGUAAUACCUAGGGCUUAACCCAGGUGCUGCUUCCAAAACUAUAUGGCUUGAGUGCAGGAGAGGUAAGUGGAAUUCCUAGUGUAGCGGUGGAAUGCGUAGAUAUUAGGAGGAACAUCAGUGGCGAAGGCGACUUACUGGACUGUAACUGACGCUGAGGCACGAAAGCGUGGGGAGCAAACAGGAUUAGAUACCCUGGUAGUCCACGCCGUAAACUAUGGAUACUAGAUGUAGGGGGUAUCGACUCCCUCUGCGUCGCAGCAAACGCAAUAAGUAUCCCGCCUGGGGAGUACGGCCGCAAGGUUGAA
rnacentral:rRNA from 1 species